ensembl:lncRNA
GUAGGAGAACAGUCAGCGGUGAGGCGGUGUGAUGGCAGCAUUAAUACCACAAAGUUGAUUAUUUUCCGAGCAUGUCCCAAAGUCUCCUAUUAAUUGGCACAGCCAUUUUACAAACAGUUACAAAUAUUCAUUUAUUAAUGAGUGAAUGGCAAGUGUAAAAGAGUUCACUAGAAAAUCACACAUUUACACCUAGAACAGAGGAGAGUUUUUACUGUCACACCAAUGGUUUUUACUCUCGCAUGAACGGGAGCGGGGAGGGUUUUUACUCUCGCACGGACCGGAACGAGGAGGUUUUUUACUCUCGCACGGACUGUAGCGGGCAGGGUUUUUACUCUCGCACGGACUGUAGCGGGCAGGGUUUUUACUCUCGCACGGACGGGAGCGGGGGGGGUUUUUACUCUCGCACGGACGGGAGCGGGGAGGGUUUUUACUCUCCCACGGACGGGAGCGGGGAGGGUUUUUACUCUUGCACGGACGCGAGCGGGGAGGUUUUUUACUCUCGCACAGACUGGAGCAGGGACGUUUCUUAAUCUCGCACAGAUGGUAGCUUGCAGGACAAAGACCCCAGUGAUUAAAAUAGGAGCAUAUUGAGUGAAGGUUGCUGUGGUUCAAAUGACUUGUCUAUAUAUUUUGGGAAAAGAGAACUAACAUGAAUUAGGCAUUAACAGUGAUUGGAUGAAACAUUCUUGUUGGUAAAUGUUCUUACUGAUAAAUGUAAUUAUUGCAUUUUGUCUGUCCUUUACAG